rnacentral:snRNA from 1 species
GUGCUUGCUUCCGCAGCACAUAUACUAAAGUUGGAACCAUACAGAGAAGAUUAGCAUGGCCCUUGUGCGAGGAUGACAUGCAAAUUUGUGAAGUAUUCCAUACUUUU